UCUUUAUGGCAAAAGGAGUAUUGAUGGACGAGGAGCCGGUGGCUCGGAGCCUUAAUUUCCAGAAGGCCCUAUCCCCAUAUCCGGAUUGAGGACAGUAUGCUGGUGGAAAGGUUGGUCUACCCAACUCUCACUUGAGUCGCCGAACUUUAAGAAUCCUGGCCUUCUCUCCUCUCAAGGCACCGCCACACACGUGAUCACUUGCUCGUUGCUAGUUUUAUGUUUGCGAGGCACUUCCCAGC
rnacentral:lncRNA from 1 species